rnacentral:rRNA from 1 species
AAUCAACGCUGGCGGCGUGCCUCAGACAUGCAAGUCGAACGAUUAAAGCUCUCUUCGGAGAGUGCAUAGAGUGGCGCACGGGUGAGUAACACGUAAGUAAUCUACCUUCGAGUGGGGAAUAACGUCCGGAAACGGACGCUAAUACCGCAUAAUGCAGCGGCAUCGCAAGAUGACAGUUGUUAAAGAUUUAUCGCUUGAAGAGGAGCUUGCGGCAGAUUAGCUAGUUGGUAAGGUAAUGGCUUACCAAGGCUACGAUCUGUAACCGGUCUAAGAGGACGGUCGGUCACACUGACACUGAAUAACGGGUCAGACUCCUACGGGAGGCAGCAGUCGGGAAUUUUGGGCAAUGGGCGAAAGCCUGACCCAGCAACGCCGCGUGAAGGAUGAAGUAUUUCGGUAUGUAAACUUCGAAAGAAUAGGAAGAAUAAAUGACGGUACUAUUUAUAAGGUCCGGCUAACUACGUGCCA